rnacentral:rRNA from 1 species
UAUAUAUUGCCUUUAAUGCAAUUCAUAAGAUAUGUGCAAAAACUGAAAGUAGUCAUAUACUUUUCAAGCAUAAUCAACAUGUAGCAAUUAAAAAUUGCAUCCAUACACAUGUUGACAUUUCAUAAACAGAUAUUACAUAGUUCAUAUGUACAAAAACUGAAAAAGCUAGAAAGCUAAUCAGAAAAGAAAACGAAAAAUAAUGGCAAUAGGCCAAAAACUGGAUGACCUACUACCGUGGCUAGUGCCACCUUUUUAUUUUCGUUCUUGAUUCUUUUUUUUUCUUUGCUGCACGUACGCAUGGGCCAGUGGCUAACGUGGUGGGCUGGUGGCUGUCCAACUCACGCGAGGGGAUGGAUAAGGGGGCCGAGGGAAUAUCAUUCCCGUCCACAAAUCGUCCCAGAUCCAACUCAAGCGGUGGGCGUCUCAGCCAGCAUCACCAACCUCCGCCACCGGUGGCUGCCUCACCGGCGCGUAGAAGGCCCCGGCGCAGCGUGUUCCUCCUCUGAAGAACAAGAUCCUCCAGGAAUGUGCGCCCCUGACGCGACGCCGUUGUAGUGGCCAUUGGCCAGCCCAAGAUUCACCGGGCUCCAUCGUCCCGGCCGACGACCGGCGCGCUGCAGGACAGCGCGCGGCGCUAUGUGCCAGCGGCGGGGCGCCGAUGGACCGGAGGAGCUGCCGGCUCCGUUGUCGAAGACGUCCCGGCGCGCAACAGCCGGCGUGGGGAGGCGCAGCCCGAGGCUCGCGCUCGACGAAGAGGCGCCGGCGUCCAUGUUCAUGGCGCGCGCACCAACCGGCGAGGGCAUGUGCAUCCCCAGCCCGAAGCUUGCCGCAGAAGCCCCAGCGGCCACUGCCUCGUGCGCCGGAGUCGGCGACGGAAGGCGCGGCGAGUCCGUCUGUGCGGGCUCCGCGGGCAGCGUUGGUGGCGCGGGCUCGACCUCCUCCUGGACCUCGUAGUCCUGCGGAGGAGACAACGGCGGGGUCGGGCAUGGCCCCCAGCGGUGCAUCGGGCACGGGGGCGGUGGUGAAGGAGCCGCAAGAUCCGGCUCAACGCCGGCGGCGUCGACGUCGAUUGCAUCGACCUCGGGCUCCAAGACCUCGUCCGCCUGUAACAUCGGAGCGGUCCGGCAUAGCCGGUUCAGGCGGAGCACCAGAGGGUCCAGCACUGUGGCGAGCGCCAAGAUCUCGGGCGCCAAGUCUAAGACCAUGGCGACGCCCUCUGAAGUCCGCCGAUGCCGUGGUAACGGUGGCGAACCUGACGAUGACGGUUGCCGGCCCGAAGGAGUUGCAGGAAGAAGGAUAGGAGACCACGAGGCAUCUCUCUUUACCUUUGCUUUUCUUCUUUCUGCUUUACCGGCGAGAGUCGCCGGUGUUGAUUUGCCUGUGCUCUGCUCUCGGUAGAGUUAUGUGCUGAUAACGUGUGAAAGAACGAAUUGAUCGAACCCUUGCUUUGAUUGAUGAUCCAGAGGAUUAAAUACAGAGGGAACCGACGCCAACUCCACGGACUGAACUUCAGUGCCGUAACUGCACCUGCAGUUGGGUCAAUGGCCGGCUGGCCCACAUGCCAUUGACCCAACUGCAGGUGCAGUUACGGCAGCCAAGCAGCGUCCCAACUCCACGAACGGACGCAUCCACUCGCGGGGGCGUGGGCAUGCUUCGAACGGUUGCCAGAGGCAAACCGCACGCUAGUUACAAGGGAGGAUAAUCCCUAAAUAAUACAGUUAGUUUAAAUCCUAACAAUAAUGAGAUAAUGUAAGCUCCACACAUUUCUA